AAGGAUUUAAGUUAAAUAAACUCUUAGCCUUCAAAGCUAAAAAUAGAAAAAGUAUAUCUAAGCCUUA
rnacentral:tRNA from 1 species